rnacentral:lncRNA from 1 species
UGCCCGCAUCCGUGGACGUAUUUUUAUUUCUCUUCGAAGCCAAGCACCCAGGAGACCGCCUGUGGGUUAGCUUGAACGCGAUUGCUGGGAGGUCCAUCUUUGCUAUCUUCCAGCAAUCCUAUAAAGAUUGGAAAGGGAAAUUCGUCCAAGUGCGCCCUAACGACAAGGACGCCUCCCUACUCGACGGCUUCCCUUUGUACUGGGUGGACAAGGGGAAGAAAGAGUCCAAGAGCUGCUUCAGGAGACCCAGAAGUCCUGACAGCAUAGGAGCGUUGGACCGAGAUCUCUGCCUUUUCUGGAAAAGGGUCGCGGAUGCCAACAUCACCUUCCUUACCACCACCCUGAUCUGCUUCGAAUUCUACGAGGACCAACUCGAAAUUCGAA